rnacentral:rRNA from 1 species
AUUGAACGCUGGCGGCAGGCCUAACACAUGCAAGUCGAGCGGAUGAAGGGAGCUUGCUCCUGGAUUCAGCGGCGGACGGGUGAGUAAUGCCUAGGAAUCUGCCUGGUAGUGGGGGAUAACGUCCGGAAACGGGCGCUAAUACCGCAUACGUCCUGAGGGAGAAAGUGGGGGAUCUUCGGACCUCACGCUAUCAGAUGAGCCUAGGUCGGAUUAGCUAGUUGGUGGGGUAAAGGCCUACCAAGGCGACGAUCCGUAACUGGUCUGAGAGGAUGAUCAGUCACACUGGAACUGAGACACGGUCCAGACUCCUACGGGAGGCAGCAGUGAGGAAUAUUGGACAAAGGGCGAAAGCCUGAUCCAGCCAUGCCGCGUGUGUGAAGAAGGUCUUCGGAUUGUAAAGCACUUUAAGUUGGGAGGAAGGGCAGUAAGUUAAUACCUUGCUGUUUUGACGUUACCAACAGAAUAAGCACCGGCUAACUUCGUG